rnacentral:rRNA from 1 species
GCGGACGGGUGGAGUAAUGUCUGGGAAACUGCCUGAUGGAGGGGGAUAACUACUGGAAACGGUAGCUAAUACCGCAUAAUGUCGCAAGACCAAAGAGGGGGACCUUCGGGCCUCUUGCCAUCGGAUGUGCCCAGAUGGGAUUAGCUUGUUGGUGGGGUAACGGCUCACCAAGGCGACGAUCCCUAGCUGGUCUGAGAGGAUGACCAGCCACACUGGAACUGAGACACGGUCCAGACUCCUACGGGAGGCAGCAUGU